GUCGGUACAUAAGAAUGGUACAAAAGUAAAACUAAAAGCUUCCAUGGACUUUCAAGGGUCAACACUCAAACUUUAGAAGGUUUGCAGACACAAAGGCUUACAAGUUUUUAAGAAAGUACAAGAGCUUUAUAUUGCGAAAAAUAUUUAUUUUGAUUUUGUAUGACAAUUUUAAAAUAACAUUAUUCCUGACAAAAUAAAUUAUGAGACCUACAUUGUUUUAAAGCAUAAGAUAAAUGAUACUAGUAAUCUACUUAUGGCAAUGUAAAUUAUUGACACUCACAGGUCACUAUUUUGUCACCAGUUACAUUUCUGUAAAAACAGGUGAUUCCAAAUAAUUUUAGGAAUGAUUUUUAAAACAGAUGUUAACAAAGUUUCCUAUAUUGUUCCCUAUAACCAUAACAUAUCUAACAAUUACAACUAGAGACUCUAAAGAGCCUGUGUCGCUCACCUUGGUCUAUGUGAAUAUUAAACAAUGGACACAGAUGGAUUCAUGACAAAAUUGUGUUUUGGUGAUGGUGAUGUGUUUGUAGAUCUUACUUUACUAAACAUUCUUGCUGCUUACAAUUAUCUCUAUCUAUAACAGUACUUUCUGUGGAAAAUGUUAUUGAAAAUCUUCAAAUUUUAAGAAAAUUGUUAAAAUUGACUAUGAAGGGCAAUAACUCCUUAGGGGGUCAAUUGACUAUUUUGGUCAUCCUGACUUAUUUUUAGUUCUUACUUUGCUGUACAUUAUUGCUGUUUACAGUUUAUCUCUAUCUAUAAUAAUAUUCAAGAUAAUAACAAAAAAACAGCAAAAUUUCCUCAAAAUUACCAAUUCAGGGGCAGCAACCUAACAACCGAUUUUCCGAUUCAUCUGAAAAUUCCAGGGCAGAUAGAUCUUGACCUGAUCAACAAUUUUACUUCCUGUCAGAUUUGCUUUUAAUGCUUUGGUUUUUGAGUUAUAAGCCAAAAACUGCAAUUUCCCCCCAUGUUUUAUUUUUAGCCAUGGCGGCCAUCUUGGUUAGUUGGCCGAGUUACCGGACACAUUUUUUUAACUAGAUACGGUCAUACCCCAAUGAUGAUUAUGGCCAAGUUUGGUUAAAUUUGGUCCAGUAGUUUCAGAGGAGAAGAUUUUUCUAAAAGAUUACUAAGAUUUACGAAAAUGGUUAAAAAAUUGACUAUAAAGGGCAAUUACUCCUAAAGUGGUCACUUGACCAUUUUGGUCAUGUUGACUUAUUUGUAGAUCUUACUUUGCUGAACAUUAUUGCUGUUUACAGUUUAUCUCUAUCUAUAAUAAUAUUCAAGAUAAUAACCAA
rnacentral:lncRNA from 1 species